GUAGGUGGCAAGCGUUGUCCGGAAUUAUUGGGCGUAAAGCGCGCGCAGGCGGUUCUUUAAGUCUGAUGUGAAAGCCCACGGCUCGACCGUGGAGGGUCAUUGGAAACUGGAGAACUUGAGUACAGAAGAGGAAAGCGGAAUUCCACGUGUAGCGGUGAAAUGCGUAGAGAUGUGGAGGAACACCAGUGGCGAAGGCGGCUUUCUGGUCUGUAACUGACGCUGAGGCGCGAAAGCGUGGGGAGCAAACAGGAUUAGAUACCCUGGUAGUCCACGCCGUAAACGAUGAGUGCUAAGUGUUAGGGGGGUUUUCCGCCCCCCUUAGUGCUGCAGCUAACGCAUUAAGCACUCCGCCUGGGAGUACGGCCGCAAGGCUG
rnacentral:rRNA from 1 species